rnacentral:tRNA from 2 species
GCCCAGGUAGCUCAGUUGGUAGAGCAGUGGACUGAAAAUCCUCGUGUCGGUGGUUCAAUUCCGCCCCUGGGCACCA